AUCCAAGUGCAAGGGCAUACGAGUCUCAGUGAGGAUUUAAUCCGAGAGCUUGUUUUUGCUGGUUGAAAACUAUAACCUUGACCGCUCCUGACUUGCUUCGGCAGGUUAGGGAAUUUUUGGCUCAUCUUUAUUCUACUUUUUUCUUUCGUUGAU
rnacentral:snRNA from 21 species